GACGGCGGUGUUUGGCACCUCGAUGUCGGCUCAUCACAUCCUGGGGCUGAAGUAGGUCCCAAGGGUAUGGCUGUUCGCCAUUUAAAGUGGUACGCGAGCUGGGUUUAGAACGUCGUGAGACAGUUCGGUCCCUAUCUGCCGUGGGCGCUGGAGAACUGAGGGGGGCUGCUCCUAGUACGAGAGGACCGGAGUGGACGCAUCACUGGUGUUCGGGUUGUCAUGCCAAUGGCACUGCCCGGUAGCUAAAUGCGGAAGAGAUAAGUGCUGAAAGCAUCUAAGCACGAAACUUGCCCCGAGAUGAGUUCUCCCUGACUCCUUGAGAGUCCUGAAGGAACGUUGAAGACGACGACGUUGAUAGGCCGGGUGUGUAAGCGCAGCGAUGCGUUGAGCUAACCGGUACUAAUGAACCGUGAGGCUUAACCUUACAACGCCGAAGGUGUUU
rnacentral:rRNA from 1 species